rnacentral:lncRNA from 1 species
CGCUUGGUGGAAUAACAGUCCGCGGGUAGCAUACGCUGUUGUGAACAUCUCAGCCAAGUGCUGCUGUCGUACGCAGUCCGCGGAGCUCGCAAGCGGAACCACCGCGAAGUCACCUUUCUCUCAAACGCUCUCGCUUCAAAAGACCCCAUGAUCCUCGCUCUUUUCUGUGUGUUUUAUUGCGUAGUAAAGCACACUCAAAUACACGGCUAC